GAUGAAGAACGCAGUGAAAUGCGAUAAGUAAUGUGAAUUGCAGAAUUCAGUGAAUCAUCGAAUCUUUGAACGCACAUUGCGCCCGCUGGUAUUCCGGCGGGCAUGCCUGUUCGAGCGUCAUUUCAACCCUCAAACCCCCCGGGUUUGGUGUUGGGGAUCGGCUCUGCCUCACGGCGGUGCCGCCCCCGAAAUACAUUGGCGGUCUCGCUGCAGCCUCCAUUGCGUAGUAGCUAACACCUCGCAACUGGAACGCGGCGCGGCCAUGCCGUAAAACCCCAACUUCUGAAUGUUGACCUCGGAUCAGGUAGGAAUACCCGCUGAACUUAAGCAUAUCAAUAAGCGGAGGA
rnacentral:misc_RNA from 1 species